GCUUCUUCUACCGGAAGAUAACACACCGGGCAUGCUGAAAUCAAACCAAAACACUUCUUAAAAAAAAAAAAACGUCUCCAACACGAGUCUAGUAGUGAUCAUAAGAAAGUUAAAAGACUUACAGCGAGGUCCUGUUCUUUUCCUGUCGGCUGGUGGGGGAGGCAAGGUGAAACUGUUACAAGGAUGGCCUUGAGGAAGCGUGUAUCCAAGAAAAUGCAUAGGAGGAGACAGCACGGCAUUCAAACCCAGGAAAGAUAUAUUCCGAAUGCUGAUGGUUUCCUCUUCAUUAGUUGGUAACAUGUAUGAAUGGUUUACAACAAAAGUGCCAUUGAAAUGAAGACUCGGAGGAACCUGACCAUCUUCACCUGAUUACAAACACAAUAUAUGAUAUGAAGUAAUGUCCACAAGAGUUCAUACACAUAAAGAAAGUAAAGGUGAUACCUUUGCCGACGAAGAGGACGCGGAGGAAGACGACGGCGGAGAUUAAGAAGAGGAGCAACAUGCCGACCUUCUUGCGGCCAGCGAGUUUGCAGAUCCUCCUUCCUUCCCUCUCCUUGUGCAUCUUAGAUGGCUUCGCACGCGUCGUCUGGAUAGAUAAAACGACGCCGUUGAGUCCCGUCUUCUCCAAUGAGCCAUUGCUACUGGAUCGAACGCCCAAUCCAGUCAUCUCUUCUCCCCACCCCACCCCCUCUCUUGAAUCACUCCAUCGAAUCUUCCCAAUCAAAAAAAAAAGCACUCAAAACUCGAUUCGAAUGUUCAAUGUUCCAAAUCUCAGAUUCACGAGUCUAAGCUUGUUCAAGUUCACCCAAAUCGAUUCUGGGUUGGCUAGAUUGCAAUCUGAUCUACGAAAUCGAAAAGCUAGGGUUUGUGAUUGGGAGAUAGGGUUUUGAUUCCUUCACAAGUUUCAAAAUAAAGGCCAAAAGUCACUCUUUCUCACCCCCAACACACGCUCAUACAAACAAACAAACCAAAAUACUGUCACAAUUGACUAAUCAAUCUCUUGCUAUAAAUACACUCUUCCCAAAAACUCAUUAAUAUAUAAUUCCGCGUGAAACAAAAAGGCAGUUUGAUAAAUCUUCUUAUUAUCUAAUCUUUUCCCAUGUGUAAAUUAUGUUUUAUAGGUUUUUUUUUUUUGUUUUUUUGCAAAAGGGUUAAACCCGGGUCUAUUAAAGACACAGAGCUAACCCCCGGGUGGGAGGUGCAACUCACGGAUGGAUCCUCUCCCGGGUAUUCUAAUGGGCCGUAAGCAUGGACCCAUAUCCGCGUGGCCACAUGUAGAGCUAAUAAUUUUGCACUAGAGGGGAGUCGAUCCCUGACCUGGACCAACAGGGCAACUCUUCCUCUAGUGGACCACCACGAUGUGGUUAUGUUUUAUAGGUUAGUGCAUUAAGUUUUUUUUUGUGCAUUAAGUUAAUAAACCUUAAUAUAAUUCAGUGUUGAUAACAUUGAAUUUAAGAGAGAAAAAAAAAGAUUGUAUGUAUGCGGAAAGUUGUUAGUUAGUUUAGGUAAAACUAUAAUAAGUCAAGGCAAAAAAAAAAGAAAAUGUUAAUAUGAUUAAUUAUUGGACAAUUCUCUCACGUAGAUUUUUUAAAGUUUUUGUCACAAAAAAUAACCGUAAAAAAAAAUCAAAAUAGUUUUUUUUUAUUUUGAAAACUUUAAUAUUUAUUUUUUAUUUUUAAAAUUUGAAACUCUAUCCCCGGAACUCCAUUUUUUUAAAACUGACUAUUCUACAAAAUUUCUCUUAAUUAUUCUCUGUGUUUCCGUAUUAUUUAUAAGUUAUUACAACGGACACGUGGCCAUUUGUUACUGGUGGGCGUGGAAACAUACAUCUAACUAAAGUAUAUUAAAUUAAUAGGCUAUAAUUAUUGUCCAAACACUCAUGUAACUGCAUCAUUACAGAAUUUGUGACAACUGAGAUUUAAAUAUAAAUGAAAACAUUUAUUUAAUCACGUAGCCAUCCAUAAAUCCUCUCGCUAUUAGUCUCAUCUGUCGCACUAAAUUAUACGAAACUCUUUGAAUUAGUUUUUUUUUUUUUGGGGGAGGGGGGGGGGGGGCGCUUGUGUCUCUGUUAAGUGGUUCUUCAUAUAUAUACGUCAAGUUCUUAAGAAGAGGGGAAAACGAGGGAGCAUUUGGCAUCAAGGCAAUCGCUUCUUCUACCGGAAGAUAACACACCGGGCAUGCUGAAAUCAAACCAAAACACUUCUUAAAAAAAAAAAAACGUCUCCAACACGAGUCUAGUAGUGAUCAUAAGAAAGUUAAAAGACUUACAGCGAGGUCCUGUUCUUUUCCUGUCGGCUGGUGGGGGAGGCAAGGUGAAACUGUUACAAGGAUGGCCUUGAGGAAGCGUGUAUCCAAGAAAAUGCAUAGGAGGAGACAGCACGGCAUUCAAACCCAGGAAAGAUAUAUUCCGAAUGCUGAUGGUUUCCUCUUCAUUAGUUGGUAACAUGUAUGAAUGGUUUACAACAAAAGUGCCAUUGAAAUGAAGACUCGGAGGAACCUGACCAUC
rnacentral:lncRNA from 1 species